rnacentral:rRNA from 1 species
CGGAGGGUGCAAGCGUUGUCCGGAUUCACUGGGUUUAAAGGGUGCGUAGGCGGAUUUUUAAGUCCGUGGUGAAAUCUCCGAGCUUAACUCGGAAACUGCCAUGGAUACUAUGAGUCUUGAAUGUUGUGGAGGUUUGCGGAAUAUGUCAUGUAGCGGUGAAAUGCUUAGAUAUGACAUAGAACACCGAUUGCGAAGGCAGCAGGCUACACAAAUAUUGACGCUGAGGCACGAAAGCGUGGGGAUCAAACAGGAUUAGAUACCCUGGUAGUCCACGCCCUAAACGAUGAUUACUCGACAUUUGCGAUACACAGCAAGUGUCUGAGCGAAAGCAUUAAGUAAUCCACCUGGGAAGUACGACCGCAAGGUUG